rnacentral:tRNA from 1 species
GGAGGAUUACCCAAGUCCGGCUGAAGGGAACGGUCUUGAAAACCGUCAGGGCGUGUAAAAGCGUGCGUGGGUUCGAAUCCCACAUCCUCCU